rnacentral:rRNA from 1 species
AACGUAGGUUCCGAGCGUUAUCCGGAUUUACUGGGCGUAAAGCGCGUUCAGGCGGUUUGGCAAGUCGGGCAUGAAAUCUCUCGGCUCAACCGGGAGAGGUUGUCCGAUACUGCUGGACUUGAGGGCAGUAGAGGGUGGUGGAAUUCCGGGUGUAGUGGUGAAAUGUGUAGAUAUCCGGAGGAACACCAGUGGCGAAGGCGACAUCCUGGACCGGUAUUGACGCUGAGGCGCGAAAGCCAGGGGAGCAAACGGG